rnacentral:rRNA from 1 species
AUUUGAACGGAGAGUUCGAUCCUGGCUCAGGAUGAACGCUGGCGGCGCGCCUAACACAUGCAAGUCGAACGGUUAAGGCGCCCUUCGGGGCGCGGAUAGAGUGGCGAACGGCUGAGUAACACGUGGGCAACCUGCCCCCCGCACCGGGACAGCCUCGGGAAACCGUGGGUAAUACCGGGUACUCCGCCACCCCCGCAUGGGGGAGGCGGGAGAGCGUAUGCGGCGGGGGAUGGGCCCGCGGCCUGUUAGCUAGUUGGCGGGGCAACGGCCCACCAAGGCGAUUAUGGGUAGCUGGGUUGAGAGACCGACCAGCCAGAUUGGGACUGAGACACGGCCCAGACUCCUACGGGAGGCAGCAGUGGGGAAUCUUGCGCAAUGGGGGCAACCCUGACGCAGCGACGCCGCGUGCGGGACGAAGGCCUUCGGGUCGUAAACCGCUUUCAGCAGGGACGAGGCCGAAAGGUGACGGUACCUGCAGAAGAAGCCCCGGCUAACUACGUGCCAGCAGCCGCGGUAAUACGUAGGGGGCGAGCGUUAUCCGGAUUCAUUGGGCGUAAAGCGCGCGUA